UGAUUUGUUUCGUUAUUUUUUAUGGGGUUAUCUCUAUCUCACAUACCGGGUCGCAGGUUAGUUUAGUUAACAUGUGUUGACUCUUUUUUCAACUUUUUUUUUUUUUAUGAAAUUGAUUUUUUUUUUAAUUUUAUUCAUUGGCAUUAAAUUAUUGGCUCUUGAGCUUUGUGUUUUUUUUUCACUUUUUUUUUUCUACAGGGUUAUCCUGGGUAUGGGCUAGUCAAGUUAACAUGUGUUGACCUAAGAUUUUUUUC
rnacentral:lncRNA from 1 species